rnacentral:tRNA from 1 species
GCCUGGGUGGCUCAGUUGGUUGAGCAUCUGACUUGGGCUCAGGUUAUGAUCUCAUGGUUCAUGAGUUCGAGCCCUUCAUCAGGCU